CACAACACCGACGAGUAACAAUAAUCUAGCCACAAGUAAUGUUUUACAAAAAAGUUCAUCAUAUUCAAAAAGCGGUUCAAAUGUAAAAAGAAGUCUUUUCACUGAUGAUGAUAAUAAUAUUAAUUUUGAGAAAAAAUCUUCAAAGACUCUUGACACAACACCGACGAGUAACAAUAAUCUAGCCGCAAGUCAUGUUUUACAGAAAAGUUCAUCAUAUUCAAAAAGCGGUUCAAAUGUAAAUAGAAGUCUGUUCACUGAUGAUGAUAAUAAUAUUAAUUUUGAGAAAAAAUCUUCAAAGAAUCUUGAUACAACACCGACAAGUUACAAUAAUCUAUCUGCAAGUCAUGUUUUACAGAAAAGUUCAUCAUAUUCAAAAAGCGGUUCAAAUGUAAAUAGAAGUCUGUUCACUGAUGAUGAUGAUAAUAUUAAUUUUGAGAAAAAAUAUUUAA